GGGCGAUUAGCUCAGAUGGUUAGAGCGCUACAUUGACAUUGUAGAGGUCACUGGUUCGAUUCCAGUAUCGCCCA
rnacentral:tRNA from 1 species